CGGCGGACGGGUGAGUAACACGUGGAUAACCUACCUAUAAGACUGGGAUAACUUCGGGAAACCGGAGCUAAUACCGGAUAAUAUUUUGAACCGCAUGGUUCAAAAGUAAAAGACGGUCUUGCUGUCACUUAUAGAUGGAUCCGCGCUGCAUUAGCUAGUUGGUAAGGUAACGGCUUACCAAGGCAACGAUGCAUAGCCGACCUGAGAGGGUGAUCGGCCACACUGGAAUUGAGACACGGUCCAG
rnacentral:rRNA from 1 species